GAGGCUGCGCCUGCACCCGCUGAAAGCCGGGCGUCGCGGGUGCGGGAGCUGCAGCCCCCGAGAAUAGCUACAGGCUGGGGGGCAUUGCGGUCUGAGCCUUCCCUCGGCGCUUCUUCCCGCCGCCUCAGUACAUACAACUGGAGGCAAGAAUCUUGCACGGUAAUUGGGACAGAAAGAUCCCUGGGCGCGCAGUGGCACAAAGCCUCGGGAGAUCAGAGACCGACUGUACGUGGAGACCAUAGCUGGAGAGUCCCCUCACUCCUUCAGAGAACCCAAACUGGGAGACAACCCACCACUUCCCUUCCGCCAAAUUUACACAGACCCUCGUCUACCUGGUAGCGUAACACUCACCCCGCUGCAGCUCAACUCGCGGGUCUCAGAGCCUACCCCGCCCUUCAAAGAGUAAACAAGUACUAGCAGUAUCUCCAUCAGAAGGUUGUUCUGAGGGCUAACCAAGAAAAUGCGACUAUAGCAUGCAGCAUGGAGCCUGGCCCAGAGAAGGCAUUCACGUUAGCUAUUGUUACUAGCGGCCUGCGUCCUUAUGUUUCAUAAAGCCCCACGGAGGUUUCUGAGGUUCUGGAACCUGCACUAGGCGCGCAGCUGAGUUUAAAAUCCUCUGCACUCACUAGCUGUGGGACCUGGGCAAGCCGCAAAAUCUCCAUCUCCGUUUCUUGAAGUUUUCAAGGUGUUAUAAGUAUAAAAUGAGUAAACAUAUGUGAUCGUCCCUAACAAUGCCAGAGUACCCAAGAAAUACCACUGACUUAUUUCGGGUCUUGUAGUCAAAUGGUCUACCUGAGUCCCAUUUUUGCAAUAGGAUGUAACAGUAAUCCUAGAAGUUAAGACGGAAUUUUACAUUGCAUAAAAUAGACUGCCUUUCUCCUGUGUUGACGCUAUCUGCCGUAUAUUUAUGCUUCGGAAGAAGUCCUUGAAAAGAAAUUUUCUCUCAUCAAAUCUGAGCUUUGUUUCGCCUUACAAUGGCCUUGGAAUUGCCUGAUUCUGCAGACACCGGGCAAUAUCUUACUUUGCAAAGUCAGCAUUAUUUACAAGCCCUGAAUAUCUUGGCUUAAAGGACAGUAUGGAUUAUCCAACCCAAGCCGCUGGCUUUACAGAUGAGGGAAC
rnacentral:lncRNA from 10 species